AUUGAACGCUGGCGGCAUGCCUUACACAUGCAAGUCGAACGGCAGCACGGGUGCUUGCACCUGGUGGCGAGUGGCGAACGGGUGAGUAAUACAUCGGAACGUACCUUAUCGUGGGGGAUAACGCAGCGAAAGUUGCGCUAAUACCGCAUACGCCCUGAGGGGGAAAGCGGGGGACCGUAAGGCCUCGCGCGAUUAGAGCGGCCGAUGUCUGAUUAGCUUGUUGGUGAGGUAAAAGCUCACCAAGGCGAUGAUCAGUAGCUGGUCUGAGAGGACGAUCAGCCACACUGGGACUGAGACACGGCCCAGACUCCUACGGGAGGCAGCAGUGGGGAAUUUUGGACAAUGGGGGCAACCCUGAUCCAGCAAUGCCGCGUGAGUGAAGAAGGCCUUCGGGUUGUAAAGCUCUUUUGUCAGGGAAGAAACAGCAGCUCUAACACAGACUGCGAAUGACGGUACCUGAAGAAUAAGCACCGGCUAACUACGUGCCAGCAGCCGCGGUAAUACGUAGGGUGCGAGCGUUAAUCGGAAUUACUGGGCGUAAAGCGUGCGCAGGCGGUUAUACAAGACAGGCGUGAAAUCCCCGGGCUUAACCUGGGAAUGGCGUCUGUGACUGUAUAGCUAGAGUGUGUCAGAGGGGGGUGGAAUUCCACGUGUAGCAGUGAAAUGCGUAGAUAUGUGGAGGAACACCAAUGGCGAAGGCAGCCCCCUGGGAUAAC
rnacentral:rRNA from 1 species